AAAAAGUUAAACUCUGGAUUUGCGUGUCUAACUUUAACUGUCCGUCUUAUAUGAAAUUUUUUUAUAAUUCGUAUUUUUAUUGUUGUUAGAUGAUAAAACAUGAUUAAUACUUUGUGCAUGACUUGUCUUUUUAUUUUUUUUAUAAUUUUUUCAAAUAAAACGGACGGUCAAACAUUGGGCGCGGAUACCAGGGUUUAUCUUUUU
rfam:Oryza sativa (indica cultivar-group) chromosome 5, whole genome shotgun sequence.